rnacentral:rRNA from 1 species
CAGUCGCCACGGUAAAACGAAGGGUGCAAGCGUUACUCGGAAUUACUGGGCGUAAAGCGUGCGUAGGUGGUGGUUUAAGUCCGUUGUGAAAGCCCUGGGCUCAACCUGGGAAUUGCAGUGGAUACUGGGUCACUAGAGUGUGGUAGAGGAUAGUGGAAUUUCCGGUGUAGCAGUGAAAUGCGUAGAGAUCGGAAGGAACAUCUGUGGCGAAGGCGACUAUCUGGGCCAACACUGACACUGAGGCACGAAAGCGUGGGUAGCAAACAGGAUUAGAUACCCCCGUAGUCCCUGUCUCUUAUAU